rnacentral:rRNA from 1 species
GCUGGCGGCGUGCUUAACACAUGCAAGUCGAACGGAAAGGCCCCGCUUGCGGGGUACUCGAGUGGCGAACGGGUGAGUAACACGUGGGUGAUCUACCCUGCACUUCGGGAUAAGCCUGGGAAACCGGGUCUAAUACCGGAUAGGACCCCUCUUUAGUGUGGGGGGUGGAAAGUUUUUUCGGUGUGGGAUGAGCCCGCGGCCUAUCAGCUUGUUGGUGGGGUAAUGGCCUACCAAGGCGUCGACGGGUAGCCGGCCUGAGAGGGUGGACGGCCACAUUGGGACUGAGAUACGGCCCAGACUCCUACGGGAGGCAGCAGUGGGGAAUAUUGCACAAUGGGCGGAAGCCUGAUGCAGCGACGCCGCGUGGGGGAUGACGGCCUUCGGGUUGUAAACCUCUUUCGCUAGGGACGAAGCUUUUGUGACGGUACCUAGAUAAGAAGCACCGGCUAACUACGUGCCAGCAGCCGCGGUAAUACGUAGGGUGCGAGCGUUGUCCGGAAUUACUGGGCGUAAAGAGCUCGUAGGUGGUUUGUCGCGUCGUCUGUGAAAUUCCGGGGCUUAACCUCGGGCGUGCAGGCGAUACGGGCAAUACUUGAGUGCUGUAGGGGAGACUGGAAUUCCUGGUGUAGCGGUGGAAUGCGCAGAUAUCAGGAGGAACACCGAUGGCGAAGGCAGGUCUCUGGGCAGUAACUGACGCUGAGGAGCGAAAGCAUGGGUAGCGAACAGGAUUAGAUACCCUGGUAGUCCAUGCCGUAAACGGUGGGCGCUAGGUGUAGGGGUCUUCCACGACUUCUGUGCCGUAGCUAACGCAUUAAGCGCCCCGCCUGGGGAGUACGGCCGCAAGGCUAAAACUCAAAGGAAUUGACGG